CAGUGAAGUUCAUUAUAGACCAGACCAUAUCUUAUAUAGUCCCAUGAUUCUUCUUAUCUCGUUGAGUUGAGAUGUACUAAGAGCAGUCCAAUAUGAAACUAUGCCAUAUCUCAUAUUCUUAUCUAUACCAUGACUGAUCAUCGGUAAAAAUAACGAAGUAAAGAUAAUUUCUUGGUUAGUACAUCAUAUGGGCUACACAUAUCAAAUGUGUACAAGGAUAAGUAUUUCAGUAGUCCUUUUUCUCUUAUCCCACAAGAGUGGCUUAGUCAUAUUUCCUCAAAGAGAUGAUGCGCAAACUAGGUAUGACUCGAUAGUCAAUGAGCCCAAAGGCC
rnacentral:lncRNA from 1 species